rnacentral:snoRNA from 1 species
AGCAUCAACUAUUGAAUCUGCAGAUGCCUUCCCCCUAACUACUAUAGUCAAAAAGGAGCCUGGAAUGACAGUUUUCCCUCAUGGUCACCAUCCUAUAUGCUCUAACUGAUCUGCAACAUUUCAGAGAAAGACAACU